UCAUAUUAUUAUUUAAUGCUAUUUUUUCUUGUUUUAAAGAUUAAUUUAUUUUUAUAGUGGAACAGAACUAUGGAUGUUUCUUCCAAUGUGUUGUACAAGUGGAGCAACAUCUGUCAAAAUUUUAAAGAUUCUGUAUUAUGAAUAUGACAGACAUUCUUCUGAUAUAAUAAGAGGAGCUUUCACCCACUUCUUUAUUCAUUUCAAGGCUGAGCCAUGACAAGUGGAGUGAUAGUGGUGGCAACUGGCAAGCUAUCCUUUGAAACGGUGGCGUUCUUUAUUUGAAAGGUGUCUUCGCUAGCAAGGUUUCAUUUUCCAUAGUCAUGGCUCCUACCACAAUUUCAACAAUCUAUUUUUACUUUCUUCACUGAUCAUAUCUUCCGACUUAUAACAUGUUCAUAAACUUUUCCCAAGGCUAGUAUGCUACCCCCAGUUACCAAUAAUCGGCGCAGGAACACUUCCCGUCAGAGAAAUGAUGAAACCUACUACCAUCUCUUAACGUGAUCUCUCGGUUCUUGAUUAUUCCAAUGGGUAUACCUUCAGUGAAGCUGUUUCAGGCUUGUAUCCCUUCAACUUCAUCAUCUCCAUAGUCAGGUCUUUCAGUCAAGGUCACAUGCGAGAGGAGUAAUGAUUAAGCAACAAUAACAUGUGGAAAUCAAGAUAUUAUGCAAUUCAUUUUCAUUUGCAGAGUAGCAAAGUAUGCUCAAAAUACUAAUACAUAUGACUCAUGAGCGAGGAAAAAAUAGUAAGAUAAUUCAAAAAUUGUACAUAAUAGUUUGUGUUGAUCACUAACAAGAUCCUCUUCGUCUACUUCUACAGGUAAGAUCUUUAUGUACAUGUAUAUUUAUGUAAGUUGCGAUUGUUAGGCUUUAUUUUAUUGGAUUCAUUGACUUUGAUUUUAUAUUCCUUAUCAAAUAUCAUUUGAUUUUAUCCGGGAAGUUCUUUUGACUGCCACCUCAGGAACUUCCUAUAAUUACACCCACCACCAGAAAAUACGGUCUUAAUCUCAAGAAACUUGAUUCUUUGUACAAGCCAAAUAUCAUGGCUAUGCACUCUUCAUCAGCAGCUGAGUAUGUUGAAUAUGAUCACUAUUUGAUCAAGAGGUGGAAUACAAUGGAUUUGACAAAAAUGACAACAUCUAUGUGGUAAAGAGUAAUCAAAGUUUCAUUCUUUUCUCUCUUUAUUUGCUUCAACUUUUUCAUAUUUUGGAUUUAGUUUUAUCAUUGCAGAAUACCAAACCCAAAUCUAGGGUUGCUCGCUCAGCAAAGAGGUUCUAUGGCUUCAGACUUUCAACACAUGGCAAAUUCUUCCUAUCUCUUCCUAAGACAAAACCUGACAUGUCCAAGAUGGUCUACUAGACUGGCGAUGACUUUGAUUCCUAUGAUCUGAUGUUGAUCAACAAGUGGAGUGUUUCUGGUUUUGAUGGAAGUGUUGAAGUAUAUGGGGAACUAUUUAGUCAAUAUCAUUCUAUACUUCCAUCCCUAGUUACUUAUCUAAUCUCUGACAUUGUUGGUUCUCUCUAUUACAGAACAUGCGUGGGUAUGGCUCUCAGGUGUUCAUGGCUUUCAUAAUAACAACAAGUCUUGAGCCCUUGCAAUGAAGUGUUGUCAAAUCGUCUUGUUGACAAACACUAUUUGAUGGUUUAUUGUUUUUCUGCUUGACUUUAUGGGAAUGUUGCUCUUAUUUUCGUAUUAUACAUUUAUUGGCAACUUGUUUUGACUUUUUGAACAUGCUUUGGUACCAACGAGAUUUCCCAUGUUCUCGGCUCCUUGCAUGAAGAGAUUUUAUAUGAGAAUGAGAAUCUAUUGAUGUUUCAGAUCA